rnacentral:rRNA from 1 species
AUGAAAGACCUCGGUGAAGCUGCUUAUAUAUUGAGUAUCAAGAUCUGUAGAGAUAGAUCAAGACGCUUAAUUGGAUUUUCACAAAGCACAUACCUUGAUAAAGUUUUGAAGAAGUUCAAAAUAGACCAGUCAAAGAAAGGGUUCUUGCCUGUGUUACAAGGUGUGAAGUUGAGUCAGACUCAAAACCCGACCACGUCAGAAGAUAAAGAGAGAAUGAAAGUCAUUCUCUAUGCCUCAGCCAUAGGUUCUAUAAAGUAUGCCAUGCUGUAUACCAGACCUAUUGUGUACCUUGCCACAAAGUCUGGCAAAGGUGUACAGUAG